UGGAGUCUGCAACCCGACUCCACGAAGUUGGAUUCGCUAGUAAUCGCGCAUCAGCCAUGGCGCGGUGAAUACGUUCCCGGGCCUUGUACACACCGCCCGUCAAGCCAUGGGAGCCGGGGGCGCCUGAAGUCCGGGACCGCGAGGACCGGCCUAGGGCGAAACUGGUGACUGGGCUAAGUCGUAACAAGGUACC
rnacentral:rRNA from 1 species